GAAAAUCAAACACAUAUAUAUGACCAAUAUAGGAUAUCCAACACAUGUUACCAAUAGUAGCAAGUUUCAUCCAUACAUAUACAUAGUUUCAUCUAUAUUACACAGUUUCAUCCAUAGGUACCAAGUUUCACAAAGUCAAAACAAAAACUAAAGACAAGCACUCCAUAUCUGAAAUUACAAGAAAUGACCUAAAACUAAAUAUCUACUUUAAUAAAAACUAUCUUAUUACUAAGAUCUUCUCUGGAUCUUCUUCUUUUCUUCCAACCUGCAUAACAAAAACACUAAGAAAAGGAGAAAAUUUCAUUUCAGAAACAUUAUUACUAACUAAAAGUCAGUAUAAGUCUUCAUAAUUUGUCUACGACAAUUGUAUCAGUCAAACAUGCAACAAAUUACUGGGAGGGGCGCUAUAGCAAGGAAAUCAGACACCAUUAUCGGUAUUUUUCUACAAAAUUUUAGUAUGUGUAUUUAGGAAAUAAAUGUUAAAUAUAGAUAUAUACCAACCCUUAUUAUAAACAGAAUCACAUGCACGCGGAUCAAAAUAGGUUGCACUCUAACUUUAAACCCAAAUACUUAAACGCGCAGCUGCGCUAUCUGACGGAGCCGAGCGCACACGCAAGCUGUCUGAUGCUUGCGCACCUGCUACAUGACAAAACUACAAAUAAAACGGCCUCCUUCCUCCUCGCGAUGUACCUGACGUUGUCAGGUGGUGGAUGGUCACUAAGGAUUACCUGCAUGCAUGUGUUGAUGUCAUCCCACAUUAUUCUGUCUCAAUUUUUUAAAAGCUAUAACUUUUGAACCGAGUGUCAAAAUGAAAAUCCGUUUUCACCAUUAGGUUUCUCACGACGAGAUCUUCAAAACUAGAUCUCAUAUGUAUAUGUUUCGAUGAAUUUUUUUAAAGCAACUUUGGUUCUACUUGAGGCAAUUUUAGCACUAAACAGAAGCAACUUCCUUGCAUCAUGUGUACUAGUGAAUUUACCAAUCAAGUAUAUCGUAGACAACGUAAAAACCAUGUGGGACAAAUUUUCAUCAUAUGUAGGUACCUGAGCAUCAUUCAUAGGCAACUUUAUAGUAUUGUAGGCAACUUAGUUUUCAAGCUAGGCUAACAGUAUCCUAAGGGGGCUACCAUCACUAGCUAGUAGCUUAACAUCAUCCUUAGUUGCAUACAACUUAGUUUCAUACAUAGACGACUUUGGACCUAAGUUGCUAACGCUACUUAGUUUUAAAAGCAACUUUGAUGCUAGAUGAGGCAACUAUAAUGCUAAACAGAAGCAACUCCACUCCUAAAAAUAAUUAAUUAGCAACAAUAAGCAACUAACUAAUAAUGCAGAACAACAACCAAACUGAGGUAGAUAAUAUCACAUCACCUUUAUGAGCAACUUUCCUUCCACAGCCGGACAUAACAACAUGCACUUACUAUAUGCGGCAAUGCGCUCAAAACAACAAACGAGCGCAGCGGCGCUCCCUAACCAUGUCCAACUUUAAAUUUCCAGCUUACUGUCCAUUAGCUUUACUUGAACUUUCACCUCGCACAAAUAAGUUCAAUAUUCCAUCGUCCAACCAGGCAUAUGCAACAUAUAUAUAGAAAGUGAGUACGUAUUUUUCAAAUGAAAAUAGUUGCACAUCAUGAAAAAUUGUCUACUCAGCAUUUCAGGUUACAGCAAGAAAUCAAUGGAAAUAUCACCAUAAGAUACAAAUCUAAUUUAUCUAAUUAAUUAUUUCGUGAAUGUUUUGAAUAUUCUAUGUAUCCUAGAAUUGGCAGUGGCGGGUUCCCAUAGCAUAUAUUAAUAUAAAAAUCACAACUUCUUCAUGUACCUAUACAUGUUAUUACAUAAUAUUGCUAGUCUGACAUAAGAUUGAUACUAAGCACAAACUCUCCAAGGGAAAUUGAGAAACUCCACUAUGUCAUGUUGAUAUAUCAGUGGAGAUGGUAAAAUUAGUAGUGAUGAAAAAAUUGGGAUCUCCCUCAUGCAUCACCGGUCCUUAAGAUUACAGUAUGGGUAUCUAGGAAAUAACAAAAAAACAUAACAUAGGAGAAGUCUAGAUGGAUCAGUAGAAAUUAUGUAUGAAUUAGCUACCGUGUGUCGAGACACCAACUAUCAGUACGUUGUUUUUUGGGUGCAGUAUUGGGUGUUCUAACAGUAAGCGUAGUAAUUUGACAAACAUGUAAAACACAUCUAAAACCUCAUAAUCAGAUAAAUGUGUUUACUGUGAAGUAAUAGGCUGCUGUCGCUGCUGUUACAGGGAAAGCUGUAGACGUACAUAUUAGUAAGAAAAGAAUUAUCUAGCUACCAUUACGGAAUGUCUUCAAGGGCUGUAGACGUACUUUAAAUCAGAGAAACAAAUACAGGCAGUUCACAACCCAAACUCUGAUGGACUAAAGAACACAAAGUGGGAUAGCUCUGCUCAGGAUACACCUACGCACCAACUGUCAGAUCAAAAACCAUGCACAAUUAAGCCCCAUGGGUGGUGAUGCAUCCUAGCCGGCCGCCCUUCGGUGCAGGAAAGACAUCUUCAUGAACCAACCUGUCGCUGCAUCGCCAUUACCAAAUGAAAUGACAAAGCAGAGUAGAGCUUGCAGCAACUGAAAAAUCUGAAUUCUGAAACUCUCUAACAGCAGAGUAGAGUAGAGCUGGCUCAUCUUAUCAAAUAUUUAGUACCAUUUGAAUUCCCAGGUCCAAACAAUGCAGAGUGAUAUGGUAUGGUUGUUCAUGGCCGCCAUUGAUCCAGAUGCCAUUUUUUGGUUUCUGAAGCUAGGGGAUGAGUGACGAUGUACCUUUUUUUUUGAGGCAACUGUCGUGCUCGCGGCAGCAUGCAUCGAGGUCGUCGUAGG
rnacentral:lncRNA from 1 species